rnacentral:rRNA from 1 species
UGCCAGCAGCCGCGGUAAUACGGGGGGCGCUAGCGUUGUUCGGAAUUACUGGGCGUAAAGAGCAUGUAGGCGGAUGAAUUAGUCAGAGGUGAAAGCCCCGAGCUCAACUUGGGAACUGCCUUUGAUACUGUUUAUCUAGAGUCCGAGAGAGGUUAGUGGAAUUCCCAGUGUAGAGGUGAAAUUCGUAGAUAUUGGGAAGAACACCAGUGGCGAAGGCGGCUAACUGGACUGAUACUGACGCUGAGGUGCGAAAGUGUGGGGAGCAAACAGGAUUAGAUA